GAGCUGGUGGUCAAAUUGGAUAAGGCGCUUGACUAAAGCUUAGAAGAUUACAAGUUCGAGUCCUGCCGGGGUCA